rnacentral:rRNA from 1 species
GAUGAACGCUAGCUACAGGCUUAACACAUGCAAGUCGAGGGGUAACGAGAGGAAAGCUUGCUUUCCUUGUCGACGACCGGCGCACGGGUGAGUAACGCGUAUCCAACCUGCCCCCAACUAAGGAAUAACCUUGCGAAAGUAAGACUAAUACCUUAUAAUUUCUUCAGAUGUCAUCUGACGAGGAAUAAAGAUUUAUCGGUUGUGGAUGGGGAUGCGUCUGAUUAGCUUGUUGGCGGGGUAACGGCCCACCAAGGCAACGAUCAGUAGGGGUUCUGAGAGGAAGGUCCCCCACACUGGAACUGAGACACGGUCCAAACUCCUACGGGAGGCAGCAGUGAGGAAUAUUGGUCAAUGGGCGGAAGCCUGAACCAGCCAAGUAGCGUGCAGGAUGACGGCCCUAUGGGUUGUAAACUGCUUUUAUACAGGAAUAAAGUUAGCCACGUGUGGUUAUUUGUAGGUACUGUAUGAAUAAGGACCGGCUAAUUCCGUGCCAGCCGCCGCAGUAA